AUAUAUGUGCUCUGGAUUUCAAAACGGAGUUCAUAAUAUGCAUUUAAAAUAGUCUGAAGAUAGCAGUAAUGCAGUUAUACUGUUAUAGUAAGCAGAGGGCCACUGUUUAUUCACUGUUUUUUUUUUUUUUAUCAUAGUGGAUUGUCAUUUUAUAUACGAUUUAUUUAAGUCAUAAAUGCAAGAAAAACGGGUCAUUAUCAAUUUCAGUCGCUGAUAUGUCGCUCAGAAAAGAAGUAUUUCAGUCCAAGGUUCUGCAAAGACUGUAUCCUGCAGCCCAGUGUCAGAGUACACUGCAACCUAAAGCUGAGGAACGGAUCCCACUGCCACCUGCAGAAAGACUUGAGUCCAUCCUACACAAAGAGUCAGGUGUUAAGAAGAGUUCAGCUGUACAAGGCAAAAAACUCUACACUGUACUUCCUCCUCCUGAAGGCUACCUGAUUACAGGUGGGGAUGAAUCUGUCACACCAUACAAUCCAGAUCCUAUUGACUCUGAGGAUAGCACAGCCGACACCGAUGAUCAUGAGUUACAUAAGACGAGGAGGAAGAGGAGGAAAAAGAAAAAGCUAUCUACUAUUACUACAAUUACAGAUACAGGAGAAAUAUCCACCUCUCGAGCAGAGGGCGCUGUGCAGGGCCAGACGGAUGCUGCAGAUCCCAAUGAUGAAGGUAACACUGUAAGCUCAGUGUGCCCUGAAGACAAUGAGCGGAUCAGCAAGAACAGAAAGAGGAAGAUGAAGAAGAAGCGUCACAAAGAGAAGCUCCUCACUCUUGGACUGGUGCCUCGUGCGAGAGCUCUCGAAUUUACUUACAGAGAGGAUAAUGAAGAGGAAGGAGUUGAGGGAAAUUCAGUGGGGGUGCUCAACUUCCUCCGUACCACACAGGAGAUCUAUCUCUCUGAUCGCUCCUGUGUAGCAAGUGAUCCCUCUCUCUGCCUCACUGCAGUGCAGUCUCUGUUCUCUCGUCUCUCAGGGGGCAUGCUGCCCCCUGCUGAGAUCUCUAGGUUAUGCAGACUCUGGGCUCUCCUGAGGAAGGACAAGGAGCAGUUAAUAUUACAGCUGCAAGAGUUCAGAGACACAAGCACAUUGCCUGCUGGAUGGUUUACCCCGAAGCCAGAGUCCUGCUUGGGUCCUGUUUUGUAAACCCGCACCUGCAGUACUUACCAGAACACCCGACCUGUUAUCCGACAGCAGAACUAAUUUAAUUCCAUACCCAACCUGACCCGUUUAAAAUAAAUACAGCGUUCUGAGCUGCACCCGCAUUAAAAUAAAUCUACUAUAUCAGAUGAGGUUUCAGUGGUCUGCAUUCUUUUUAAGUACUGGCUGACAGAAAUUCUCCCCAUGCAGAAAGAACCAAGGAUAUGAAGUCUGAGAAUUUAUGACAUGAGAGGAAAAACAACUGUGAAUAACCAGCAGGUCUAUGUGAAUCACCCACAUAAACCUGCUGAUUCUGAUUAUAAUAUUUCAUCAUGAAAGGGAACUUCCUUCAUACUACUCAAAGUUAAGGUCAAGGAAUUUCUUAAAAGACAGCUUGGAUUAAUCAGCUGGAGCAAAUUGUAUGAUUUCUUUUGAAGCAAAUCCCACACUGAUACAUCUGGUUUAUCUUACAUUUAACUCAAUAAUUCCUUAUGAAAAAGUUAUUUUUUUAAAAAAAUAAAUGUUCUAUUGCUCAUUCUGUCUUCAUACUCUUUUCAUGGUUUCCUGUGCAGGCAGCAUAACAGACUGCUCAUUAACACCAGACUUCAAACCAGAGCCACAUUUAUUUAUUUUUGUAAAUUCACUGUUUUGGAAAAACUGGAGGAUAGAAGUGAUUGGCUCUUUCUUUGAAAAAUCCAAUGUAACUUGAUAAUUAUGUCUUGUUGCAGCUGUAAAAUAUGUAUAUAUUCAAGUUUUAAGUCACUUUGUCUGAGAUAAAAUGAAUGUCAUUUUUUUUCAAAGAUUGUUGAUACUAGUGUGCGUGCGUGCGUGCGUGCGUGCGCCGACUAAGAUGUUUUGAAACUAAUCCAACAGCUUAUCCUAUGACAUCAUGGAAUGAGUUUAACUCUACAAGCGUCUCUAGACUGCCUUGUGUUUGCGCUAUUCUGAUAUACACAAGGCAACCCACAACAUGACAAUGGUUGCCUUUUUAGAAACACUUGAAUCUGGGUUGGCGGAGUUUUUAUUGCCUUUGAUUAACUUUAUAAUCUUCAGAAAUAAUAAUCCUGGUUUUUCUCUCAGAAAUGUUUCCUUUAUGCCAGCUGGUAUGUGAGGCAGAGGGCACAGCAGGUGUAAUUGUGGAAUUAUAACAGUUGAAAACAAGAUAAUUAAGUCAGAGACUGCUAAUUUUCUGUUUUUGUCACUUAAACCAAAAAGGCUUUAGCUUUAAUAUUGGCCUGUAUUAUUUCAUCAUUUAUAGAUCCCAAUGGAAUAUCCACUCAAAAGAACAAAGACUGUUUUGGAGUCAGAUAAAAUAAAUAAUUGCAGAAACAUUUACAACA